rnacentral:rRNA from 1 species
UACGUAGGGGGCGAGCGUUGUCCGGAAUCAUUGGGCGUAAAGCGCGUGUAGGCGGCUUGGUAAGUCUGGUGUGAAAUCUUGGGGCUCAACCCCAAACCUGCACUGGAUACUGUCAAGCUUGAGUCCGGGAGGGGAGAGCGGAAUUCCUAGUGUAGCGGUGAAAUGCGCAGAUAUUAGGAAGAACACCGGUGGCGAAGGCGGCUCUCUGGAACGGUACUGACGCUGAGCCGUGAAAGCGUGGGGAGCAAACAGG